AUUGCACGCUGGCGGUUGGCUUAACACAUGCACGUCGCACGAUUGGCGGACGUGUGAGUAAUGUCUGGGAAACUGCCUGAUCGAGGGGGAUAACCACGGGCAACGGUAGUUAAUAACCCAUACCAUCAGAUGUGACCAGAUGGGAUUAGCGAGUUGGUGGGGUAACGGCCGACCAAUGCGACGAUCCCUAGCUGGUCUGAGAGGCUGACCAGCCACACUGGAACUUAGUCACGUUCCAGACUCCUACGUGAUGCAGCAGUGGGGAAUAUUGCAAAAUGGGCGCAAGCCUGAUGAAGCCAGGCCGCGUGUAUGAAGAAGGCCUUCGGGUUGUAAAGUACUUUCAGCGGGUAGGCGUUACCCGCAGAAGAAGCACCGUCUAACUCCGUGCCAGCAGCCGCGGUAAUUC
rnacentral:rRNA from 1 species